rnacentral:miRNA from 10 species
AACAUUAACAACAUUACCGCGU